GGACUACCCGGGUUUCUAAUCCUGUUCGCUCCCCAUGCUUUCGCUUCUCAGUGUCAGUAAUGGCCCAGAGACCUGCCUUCGCCAUCGGUGUUCCUCCUGAUAUCUGCGCAUUCCACCGCUACACCAGGAAUUCCAGUCUCCCCUACCACACUCUAGUCUGCCCGUACCCACUGCAAGUCCGAGGUUGAGCCUCGGAUUUUCACAGCAGACGCGACAAACCACCUACAAGCUCUUUACGCCCAAUAAUUCCGGACAACGCUCGCACCCUACGUAUUACCGCGGCGGCUGACAC
rnacentral:misc_RNA from 1 species